rnacentral:lncRNA from 15 species
CUGGGAUUCAGUUGAUUUGUUAGUUCCUGCUAAACCUGUGGCUGGUUUCUUCUUUGUGAGCUUGCAGAGCAAAGAAGGCCCUGAAGGACCACCUGGAGAGAUGGGCAGGCUCGGCUCACAGGGGCCACCUGGUGAACCUGGGGAGCGAGGACAGCCAGGGAUGCCAGGAGAGAUGGGUGAGCGGGGUCACAGGGGCCCUCCAGGACGAGAUGGGGCCCCAGGGAGAGAUGGGGAAAAUGGAGAAGAUGGUCAGCCUGGGUCACCUGGUGCUCCUGGAUCACAGGUGGGCACAAUCUGUAUAAUAACCCAUUAA